rnacentral:rRNA from 1 species
CCGGCGCACGGGUGAGUAAUGCGUAUCCAACCUGCCCACCACUUGGGGAUAACCUUGCGAAAGUAAGACUAAUACCCAAUGAUAUCUCUAGAAGACAUCUGAAAGAGAUUAAAGAUUUAUCGGUGAUGGAUGGGGAUGCGUCUGAUUAGCUUGUUGGCGGGGUAACGACCCACCAAGGCAACGAUCAGUAGGGGUUCUGAGAGGAAGGUCCCCCACAUUGGAACUGAGACACGGUCCAA